rnacentral:lncRNA from 1 species
ACGUCACCUCGCCGUGACGCGCACGCUGUAGGAAAACUGAUGAAUUAAAAGAAUUUCCCAUCUGUCUUAUGACUCUUUUCUGGAGCCUUGGGACUUUGGCGGUGUGGGAUUUCGUUUUCUGGACAUUGGCCUGGUGUCUGUGAACAUCUCCUUGAACUCCGUUACAGGCUUGCUCUCUGAUUCCUUUAAGAUAAAGAUGAAUGCCAUGUCUCAACCAACACUGAAAAUUUGAAGUUGAGAAGACAUUUGCUAAGUCAAGCCACUUCACGGAAGUUGUUAUUCAAGUCAAAUACAUCAUAAUGCAGAAUUCCUUGUCAGUACCACCAAAAAAUCAAGGAGAGAAGUUUUGAAGAGAGAGAAAAAUACUGUCUUUAAAUGAUUCAAAAUUGGGCAUCCUUAGCAGAAGGCGUAACUUUCAGUGAAUGGAGGGAAUUUGCUAUAAAGAACCCUUAACUGGAGCAAACAUGCUUUGCUCGUUCCAGCAGAAAUAAAGGUAAUAUCCUAACUAUAAAGAGCUUGGGAUCUGUUUGAAAGUCUUUUUUUCUUUCUUUCUUUCUUUUUACAGCUGCACUUGCAGCAUAUGGAAGUUCCCAGGCUAGGGGUCGAACUGGAGCUGUAGCUGCCGGCCUACACCACAGCCAUGGCAACAGUGGAUCCAAACCACAUCUGCAGCCUACACCGCAGCUUGCAGCAAUGCCAGAUCCUUAACCCACUGAGCGAAGCCAGGGAUCGAAGCCACAAGGGGAACUCCUGUUUGAAACUCAUUUCUGUCACUGAAUUGCAUAAUCUUAGGUACAUCACUUGACCUUAAGCUUCUCAUCUAUGAAUCUAUAAAAUGAAGGCAGUGAGUCCUACCCUAUAGGUUACAUGGAGAUUAAAGGAGAUGCUCUAUGUAAAUCACCCCACGUAUUGCUGAGUGCAGAGCAGGCACUUACACGGUGAUCGUGGCUCUUGCCCCCUCAUGGUGUCUGUUAAUAUCUGGACUCUCUCCAUCUAUGGAGGCUGAUACAACGCGAUGGGCAUGUUGGCCUCCUGCUUGGGAUGUCUGCCAGCCUUCGACGGCCAAGCCUGACCCAGGGGGACUCCUGGGAAGCGAACACAGAGCAGACCCCCUGGCUUGGCCCUCAUCCAGGCCUUGGGCCCUAGGGAAAGGAAGAGUCCUCAAGACCCAUACACGCUCUAGCCCUGAACACUAGGGCAGGAAGGGAGGGAGAAAGGAGAGCAGACACUCCUUUGGGUUAAGUAAAAGGGUACGCUGUCCAUGAGUACUUCUGCUCUGUACCCUUUGGAAGGCUUCUGCCGUGGUAGGAGCUGAUCAAGGGCUUGGCAGUUCAGUAUUUGAGCGGGUAUCACCUCCUUCCUCAAGCAGGCAAGGAGAGAUACGCCUGCAUAGAAGAAGGCGUGCUGGACCAGAUGUCAGGAAAGCUGGGCUCCUGUCCCGGAUCUGCCUCCAACCAGCUCUAGAACCUCAGAGAAGCUAUUUUGCCCCUAAGCCUCGGACUCUCCUGUUAGUAAAGCCAGUAUUCCUGAGCAUUCUUUCCCAGCUCUUAACAGGUCAUGAGUCCAUGUGAGUAACUAAGCACUGAGCUGCUUGGUUUCUGGCUGAUACGGGGAAGUAAAGCUGGUCAGCUCUCACACCCCUCACCUGCUCUACUCCCCUCAAGGCUUGUUUUGUCUUGGUUUCGUGUCUGCCUCUCUGAGCGGUCGUGGAAGCUUGGUUACCUCCAUUGACUUGACCAGAAUAGAAGAUGCCCUCAAGCCUAGCUAAGAUGCAGUAGCCCCAAACCCAGAAUUUGACAGAGAAAGAGAUGUGAUAACUAAAAGAGCUCAAUGAAAAUCACGUGUCUCAGUGUGAUAGUCACUCCACCUACAACUUUACAUCCUUCAUUUUAUUUAAUCCUCACAGUGUUCAAUUUUAUCUUUCUUUCUCUGAUUCAGGGAUAUUAGAAUCAUUUACCAACGUCACCAACUAGUUCAGUGACAGAGCUAAGAGUUGAACCUACGUCCAUCAAAAUUCAACUGUUUGUCCCUUUGUGUCUGUCUCACCGUAAAUUUAUAAAGAAUAUCACUACUCUGUUUUUAGAUUAUCCCCCUUUUUCUUCUCUGAUCGACCUAUUAUGCUUAAUUAUUAUUAAUUUUAGUAAAUAACUUAAAAAGUCAUUUCAAUCCAAAGUUGGCAGAAAUUAGAAUUUGUAUCAUAGGAAAGUGUAUCAGUAAGGAAAAAUAGUGUAAUCCAUAUGAAGCCUAAGAAAUGCCCAGUUAUUAAUUAAUCAACUCAUUUAUCAAAUGCUUUCUGUGUGUCCUGGAUUACUAGUAAUAUUUUUAACAAAGAAAAAUUCUAGGCUUUUACAUUAUGAUUGUGUUUAUAUUUCUUUAAUCAAAUAGAAUCAUUUAUGGGACAUGAGAAGUUUGCAGGUCACAUGAUAUUUAUUAAUUAAAUGCUGAGUGAUUUAUUUAACAAAUCAUUGAUAGCUGUCUGUAAAUUUCAGUCAUUUGGAAUUUCAGACUUAAGGAUGCACACACAUACACACUAUACACAGUAACGUGUGACAUUCAGGCAGGCCAUCACCAGCACAGCUGUGGGGGCGUAGAAAGAUCCAUGGCAUCAUGUACUCUCUUCUAACAAAUUUUCAUACGCUAGAAGCAAAUUUAAUGAUCACCAAGGUUACCAGAAACUGUGCCAGAUGCUGUGAGGGGUCCAGCAAUAAAUCAGAAAGAGCCUAUGCUUUUACAAAACACAAACCCUAUUAGAACAGCAGAUAAUGUAUGUAGUUAACCAGAGUAAAGCAUGACAAACGCCGUAUUAGAACCUGAGUGUGACGUACUCUGAGAACUUGGCUGCAGGGACAGUGGGUUGGUUGGGACUGAUAAGGAAACACAGCAGAAGAAGGUAUUUGCUCAGGACAUUAGCACACGUGUAGAAGUCAAGUCAUUUGGAGUGGCGUUGCAGGGGUCAAGGGAUAUGGAUUUAAAGCUAAGAAAGAUCUAGAGGAAACUAAUUAAAAUUUCAAUGUCAGAGUUCCCACUGUGGCUCAGCAGGUUAAGAACCCAAUGUAGUAUCCGUGAGGAUGCAGGUUUGAUCCCUGGCCUGGCUCAGUGGGUUAAGGCUCUGGCAUUGUAGUGAGCUACAGUGUAGGCCUGCAGCUGCAACUCUGAUUUGACCCCUAGCCUGGGAACCUCCAUAUGCCACAGGUGCGGCCCUAAAAAAAAUUUUUUUUAAAUGACAGUGCCUUCAAUUUAAGUGUUUUCUAAUUUUAGAUGUAACGUCACUCAGAUAAUUUGUACCAUAUUAAAAGCCUUCCAUUAUGAUAGUGCCUUAUUUUUCCUUUCUGUGUGAAGGUAUUACUUUACAGAAUCUCCAAAAAUUCAUUAGACUUAAUUUUGUCACCAUUUUCUGUCUUAUGCUUUCAGGAUUUGGAGAUAGGAUUUAUGGUUUUCUCAUACUUUCCUAUUUUUUUGUUUGAUAUCUUCAAGUGAUAAUCUAAGAAAAGAUAAGGAUAUGUAUUUCAUGCUGGAAAACAAGAAAUUGUAGCAAGUGAUAGAGCAUAUUUUCGGGAAAGAAAAGGCAUGAAAACAGCAUGCUAAGGCCAACUACAUUUAUAACUUCCACUUUAAAUUGGUUGAAGGAAAGAAAACCACCACAGGGAUGGACAAGGCAAAUGAAUUUAUUUACCUGCCAGGUAAGGAACCAGUUCGGGAACCUUGCCAGAUGGUUCUCUGGGAGGGACAGUUUAUGGUUUUUAGGUGCUAGGAAGUUCACCGUGGCUGUGCCGGCGAAGGAUGGAAGUGUACAAUUUGGAGAGGUCAGGAUGAACCUUAAGGUCCCCACAUGGGGAGUUCCCGUCGUGGUACAGUGGUUAUCGAAUCCAACUAGGAACCAUGAGGUUGCGGGUUCCAUCCCUGGCCUGGCUCAGUGGGUUGAGGAUCCAGUGUUUCCAUGAGCUGUGGUGUAGGUUGCAGACACGGCUCGGACCCCUUGUUGCUGUGGCUCAGGCAUAGGUGGGCGGCUGCAGCUCCGAUUCGACCCCUAGCCUGGGAACUUCCAUAUGCAGCGGGAAGCGGCCCUAGAAAAG